rnacentral:rRNA from 1 species
GACGAACGCUGGCGGCGUGCUUAACACAUGCAAGUCGAACGGAAAGGCCCUGCUUUUGUGGGGUGCUCGAGUGGCGAACGGGUGAGUAACACGUGAGUAACCUGCCCUUGACUUUGGGAUAACUUCAGGAAACUGGGGCUAAUACCGGAUAGGAGCUCCUGCUGCAUGGUGGGGGUUGGAAAGUUUCGGCGGUUGGGGAUGGACUCGCGGCUUAUCAGCUGUUGGUGGGGUAGUGGCUUACCAAGGCUUUGACGGGUAGCCGGCCUGAGAGGGUGACCGGCCACAUUGGGACUGAGAUACGGCCCAGACUCCUACGGGAGGCAGCAGUGGGGAAUAUUGCACAAUGGGCGGAGGCCUGAUGCAGCAACGCCGCGUGCGGGAUGACGGCCUUCGGGUUGUAAACCGCUUUCGCCUGUGACGAAGCGUGAGUGACGGUAAUGGGUAAAGAAGCACCGGCUAACUACGUG